GUGGGGAAUUUUGGACAAUGGGCGCAAGCCUGAUCCAGCAAUGCCGCGUGCAGGAAGAAGGCCUUCGGGUUGUAAACUGCUUUUGUACGGAACGAAACGGUCCUGGUUAAUACCCGGGGCUAAUGACGGUACCGUAAGAAUAAGCACCGGCUAACUACGUGCCAGCAGCCGCGGUAAUACGUAGGGUGCAAGCGUUAAUCGGAAUUACUGGGCGUAAAGCGUGCGCAGGCGGUGCUGUAAGACAGGCGUGAAAUCCCCGGGCUUAACCUGGGAAUUGCGCUUGGGACUGCAGUGCUGGAGUGCGGCAGAGGGGGAUGGAAUUCCGCGUGUAGCAGUGAAAUGCGUAGAUAUGCGGAGGAACACCGAUGGCGAAGGCAAUCCCCUGGGCCUGCACUGACGCUCAUGCACGAAAGCGUGGGGAGCAAACAGGAUUAGAAACCCUAGUAGUCC
rnacentral:rRNA from 1 species